CGGGGAUGCACUCCAGUGACUAAUGUCUCCAAUGUGUCAUCUGUGCCACAAACAGCUGCAUGGAGGUGGUUAAUUUCCAAGGGGAGAUGCCUCACCACAAAAUGUCCCUCUCUGCCCUGCCACAGUUGGUCCUGAUUUGACUGUCUCUGUGGAGAAGCCAAGGAUCAAAUGCUCCAUGGUGCCAGGCUGUUUUCUUUUGCAGCCUGCAGGAACUGCCGAAGUCCCCGCUCAGAGAAGCACGCUCCUCCGGGCGCUGGGGGAUGCACCACCCCUCCUGACGGCCUGAUGGAUUAUGGCCCCAGUUCUGUCAGUGCAUCCAACCAAACCAGCAAAGAGGCAGAGAGGCAGC